UGGGGAAUUUUGGACAAUGGGCGAAAGCCUGAUCCAGCCAUGCCGCGUGAGUGAGGAAGGCCUUCGGGUUGUAAAGCUCUUUUAGCCGGAAAGAAAGAGUUGCAAUGAAUAAUUGUGAUUUAUGACGGUACCGACAGAAAAAGCACCGGCUAACUACGUGCCAGCAGCCGCGGUAAUACGUAGGGUGCGAGCGUUAAUCGGAAUUACUGGGCGUAAAGGGUGCGCAGGCGGUUUUGCAAGUCAGAUGUGAUAGCCCCGGGCUUAACCUGGGAAUUGCGUUUGAAACUAUAAGACUAGAGUGCAAGAGAGGGGAGUGGAAUUCCAUGUGUAGCAGUGAAAUGCGUAGAGAUGUGGAAGAACACCGAUGGCGAAGGCAGCUCCCUGGAUUGACACUGACGCUCAUGCACGAAAGCGUGGGGAGCAAACA
rnacentral:rRNA from 1 species